GCAAGUCGAGCGUGAAAUUUAUGAAUGAUCCUUCGGGUGAAUGAUUGAAUGGAAAGCGGCGGACGGGUGAGUAACGCGUAGGUAACCUUCCUUAUGCUGGGGGAUAGCCAUUGGAAACGAUGAUUAAUACCCCAUAAGACUACAGUAUCGCAUGAUACAGUGGUAAAAGAUUGAUCGGCAUAAGAUGGACCUGCGUCUGAUUAGCUAGUUGGUAAGGUAAUGGCUUACCAAGGCGACGAUCAGUAGCCGACCUGAGAGGGGGAGC
rnacentral:rRNA from 1 species